GUCGGCCCUCACGCACGUUCAUUUAAUCAAAUCUGGCUCUCCUUGUCUUAAACGAUUGAAGACUAGGGGAGAGUCUGAUGGCGGUAGGCAGGCUAUUCCAUGGGGAGAGAGCCGAACGUGAGAAGUCCUGCAAGCGUGCAAGCGUGAAUUGGCCGUAUGGGUGCGAGCAGCAGAAAGUGGAUGAGUACUUUGAAUUGACUCUGAUAUGAUACAGGAAGCCAAUGUAAGGACUGACAGAGGGGUUAGGUGUGAG